GAGUUUGAUCGUGGCUCAGGACGAACGCUGGCGGCGUGCUUAACACAUGCAAGUCGAACGAGAAUCUACUGAAAGAGUUUUCGGACAAUGGAAGUAGAGGAAAGUGGCGGACGGGUGAGUAACGCGUGAGGAACCUGCCUUGAAGAGGGGACAACAGUUGGAAACGACUGCUAAUACCGCAUGAUGCAUAAGGGUCGCAUGAUUCUUAUGCCAAAGAUUUAUCGCUUCAAGAUGGCCUCGCGUCUGAUUAGCUAGUUGGCGGGGUAACGGCCCACCAAGGCGACGAUCAGUAGCCGGACUGAGAGGUUGAACGGCCACAUUGGGACUGAGAUACGGCCCAGACUCCUACGGGAGGCAGCAGUGGGGAAUAUUGGGCAAUGGGCGCAAGCCUGACCCAGCAACGCCGCGUGAAGGAAGAAGGCUUUCGGUAUGUAACUUCUAUCAGCAGGGAAGAAAAUGACGGUACCUGACUAAGAAGCCCGGCUAACUACGUGCCAGCAGCCGCCGCGGU
rnacentral:rRNA from 1 species